rnacentral:lncRNA from 1 species
CACGCUUCUCCACGGUUGUUGCUUCCUGAUCGGCUCUGCUAUUAAGAAAUGGGUUUCUUCAUGGCUGUGCGUCAUGUACAUUUAUGACAGAUAGCGCAUCUGUGUUUGUUACUCUAUCCUGGCUACAGGGGCCAGGCAAGGAAGCUCAGGAUGAAAGGUUUCUUUCCUCCCGACAGGUCCCGGUGACUCCGAUGGCACAGCCAGGACACCUUGCCGGCUGGGAGCGUGCAGCCGGGUCAGGAGCCGCUGACAGAGGCUGGGACAGUAAGAAUUCUCACCCCCGUCAGCCCUCCUGGCUAUCUACCUGCACCAAGCAGUUCAGAGAAGGUCCAGCUGCUGCUUUCCUGUUCGUCUCCGUUGUGUCCCAAGGACUUGUCAAGGGCACCAGAGGUGAGCUCCGGAAGGCAGCUCCACACCGCCAUGGGCCGGGAGAGGCAGCCCCAGGACAGCGACUGCCUGCCCUUGCCUGCCUCCCUGAGGUGCUGCUCAGAGCCCUUCCCUUCACUGCGUUGCUUUGCUUGGCCUCUCCUGCUCCUUGUGGAAGAUGCCAAAUACCCUGGAAUUGAAAGCCAAAGCUUCUCAGUAGCCACUCGUCCCCAGUUUGGCCCCUGUGUGUCCAUGAAGUACACAAGUCAAUAAACUUCUGUUUUCUCGACUUGAUCUGUCUUGUGUUUUCGUUUAUUUAUGGGGAUUCAUUCCAGCUAAGGACCUGUGAGGGAGCUGAAGAAAUGUUACUAUCCUCCAA